rnacentral:rRNA from 1 species
UACGUAGGGUCCGAGCGUUGUCCGGAAUUACUGGGCGUAAAGAGCUCGUAGGUGGUUUGUCGCGUUGUUCGUGAAAACUCACAGCUUAACUGUGGGCGUGCGGGCGAUACGGGCAGACUGGAGUACUGCAGGGGAGACUGGAAUUCCUGGUGUAGCGGUGAAAUGCGCAGAUAUCAGGAGGAACACCGGUGGCGAAGGCGGGUCUCUGGGCCGAUACUGACGCUGAGGAGCGAAAGCGUGGGGAGCGAACAGG